rnacentral:lncRNA from 1 species
CAUAACAGAACAAGCAAAACAAUAGGAGUACAACUUUUGAACAAACUUGGACAACAAUAAACAAAUCGCUAUGAUAAAAAUGGAAGGAUUAGAGGAUUUUACACAAGACAAUAUCCGGAUUAAAACCCUACAAAUAUCCCGGACGACAAAAAUGACAACAAAAUGAACCACCAAAGCUCCACUCCGGCUGACCAAGAAAUGGAGCGUCUUCCCAAUUUCCAAACAUGGAAUCUUAGCCACCGACUUCUGUUGAUUGGUUUUUCCUUUGAAUUGGUCUCACUAGCAUGGAUCAGGCUUCUUAUGUUCCCCUCCCUUGUGUACCAAUUCGAUCAUGUGUGGGUCUCAAGGUGCGCUGGCAACGGAUUCUGGUUAAUGUUUGGCGCCUCUCGAGCCUGAACUUCAAUUCAACGGGUGUUGAUAAGUUCCUAAAUGGCUUUUUUGAACUUCCAACACUUUCCGUGUCAUGUACGGGGUGAUCCUGAACAGUAUUCACAACUCAUCGAGCGAUCAAGAUUUCUCGGAGUGGGGUUAGGCAACUUAGCUUCGACCGGAUUUGAUAGUCCCAGCUACCACAGUCGGUGGAACAAACUAUUGUAUGACUCUCCCAAUCGAGUGAAAGCCUUUCUCUUCGGUGCCCUAUCAUAACUGAAGUUUUGGCUCGAACGAAAACCCUUACCCACAUGGUUUUUGUAUGCUCUUGCAGGUAGGUAGUCAAUUAGUGGAGCUGGGUACUUGGAAAGUGAAGUAUGUCUUAUGGAGUCCCAUGGAGAGAAAUAAUGGCCCGAAGAAUUACCAGGAUAUCCACGGGGACGACAUAGAGACUGAGGGCCUAUUGCAAGGACGACCACUGGACCUUGUUGUUAGGGAGGCUCAAUAACAUCUUUUCUUUCCACGGGAAGGUCAUCCCGAGCAACUUGCUCACUCCAUCUGAGCCAGAACUUGCUAAAUCUUCCUAAGAUUCUCCUCUAUCUGAGAUUUGGAGGAGUGGUCCAGGACGAUAUCUGACGGAAGAGUGACAAAAAUACUAGGGUGAUCGGGAGAUGCCUAAGUUUGGGUGAGGACAUCAUCGGAGAAACCAAGCUGGGGCGGUAUGCAUGCCUUCCCAACCAUCCAUGCCCAAUACAUGUUUGCCACAUGUUGUCUCAAAAAUUUUACCUCUUCUGCCAACCUGUUGUCCUAUUCAACCAACUGUUUUCGGGCAUCGGUACCAACCCACUCAGUUCUAUUGUUCUCGGCCAUUAUCUUUUGCCUUUGAAUUGCAGGGAAGCGUUACUUUAGUACCACAAACCAACCACCUUUCCGGAAUUGAAACAGAACAAUAUGGGAGCAAUCUAUUAGUGAUAGGGCUUUUAACAGAUAGGUAAACACACAUUAGGGAUGCAAUGCACCUAGGCAGUUAACCCUUUCUAGCAUGCAUUUGCUUCGGUUAUUAUGCGUUAUUACGACUUUUUAUGUCCUUGAACCUUUUGAAUGUCUCCUAAACUUUCUUUUAUUUUAUUUAUAUUGAUUUUCUUUUCUUUUUUUUUCUUUUUAAUGGUGGUCGAAUCUUAUGUGGAUUGCAUACGUAUCAUGUCCCCACAUGAAUCAGACGGUGCGAAGUUCUAGCAAAAAGUAAAUAACAAUAAAAUAUUUUUUGGAAUCACAUAAAGAUGAACAACAGACUCAAAAUUCAAACGACC